GACGAACGCUGGCGGCGUGCUUAACACAUGCAAGUCGAACGGAAAGGCCCUGCUUUUGUGGGGUGCUCGAGUGGCGAACGGGUGAGUAACCCGUGAGUAACCUGCCCUUGACUUUGGGAUAACUUCAGGAAACUGGGGCUAAUACCGGAUAGGAGCUCGUGCUGCAUGGUGGGGGUUGGAAAGUUUCGGCGGUUGGGGAUGGACUCGCGGCUUAUCAGCUUGUUGGUGGGGUAGUGGCUUACCAAGGCUUUGACGGGUAGCCGGCCUGAGAGGGUGACCGGCCACAUUGGGACUGAGAUACGGCCCAGACGCCUACGGGAGGCAGCAGUGGGGAAUAUGGCACAAUGGGCGGAAGCCUGAUGCAGCAACGCCGCGUGCGGGAUGACGGCCUUCGGGUGGUAAACCGCUUUCGCCUGUGACGAAGCGUGAGUGACGGUAAUGGGUAAAGAAGCACCGGCUAACUACGUG
rnacentral:rRNA from 1 species